UAGUUUCGCGCCUUCGUUGUUCAUCCAACUUCGUGUGGGCAGGAGAAAUGGCUUCCGAAGUUCUGCUUCUAGCUCUUCUUGCAGCGAAUUGGAAGCCGGUAAUGAUGGCCUGGACAUGUGAAAGACGAAAUAUGUUAAAUGCUGGACUGUGGAGGACAUGAAGAACUGGCUCACUUUCCAGGGAUUUAAAGAGGAAGCAGCCCUUUUUUCAAGCUGAACACACACCUGCAAAGAGGGCCAAAAAACCCUGCUCUGGAUCUAGGGCUGAGUCAACAUGUAAUACAGCAGAGUAAGGUACAUGUAAUCCCUUAACCUAUUGACGUCCAGUGUGCCCAUGGGGAGCCACACCCUUUCUACGCCUUGUGACGUCAUCA